rfam:Streptomyces rubellomurinus strain ATCC 31215 contig-40, whole genome shotgun sequence.
AGCUCGACCGGGUCGACGGCCCGGGUGGCGAGCAGGAAGUCGCGGAUGGCUAUCCCGUGCCGGCCCUC